CCUACGGGUGGCAGCAGUGAGGAAUAUUGGUCAAUGGACGGAAGGCUGAACCAGCCAAGCCGCGUGAGGGAAGAAGGCGCAGUGAGUUGUAGACCGCUUUUGUACGGGGGCAAAUGGCGAGACGUGUACGGUGCUGAGAGUAUCCGACGAAUAAGCAUCGGCUAACUCCGUGCCAGCAGCCGCGGUAAUACGGAGGAUGCAAGCGUUAUCCGGAUUUAUUGGGUUUAAAGGGUGCGUAGGCGGGUCGAUAAGCUCGGGGUGAAAUCGCGGGGCUCAACUCCGGCACUGCCUCUGAUACUGUCGGGCUAGAGUUCGGCUGCGGUAGGCGGAAUGUAUGGUGUAGCGGUGAAAUGCAUAGAGAUCGUACAGAACACCGAUUGCGAAGGCAGCUUACCAAACUACGACUGACGUUGAGGCACGAAAGCGUGGGGAGCGAACAGGAUUAGAUACCCUAGUAGUC
rnacentral:rRNA from 1 species